rnacentral:rRNA from 1 species
GAUGAACGCUGGCGGCGUGCUUAACACAUGCAAGUCGAACGAUGAAGCCCAGCUUGCUGGGUGGAUUAGUGGCGAACGGGUGAGUAACACGUGAGUAACCUGCCCUUAACUCUGGGAUAAGCCUUGGAAACUGGGUCUAAUACCGGAUAGGAGCGUCCCCCGCAUGGUGGGUGUUGGAAAGAUUUAUCGGUUUUGGAUGGACUCGCGGCCUAUCAGCUUGUUGGUGAGGUAAUGGCUCACCAAGGCGACGACGGGUAGCCGGCCUGAGAGGGUGACCGGCCACACUGGGACUGAGACACGGCCCAGACUCCUACGGGAGGCAGCAGUGGGGAAUAUUGCACAAUGGGCGGAAGCCUGAUGCAGCGACGCCGCGUGAGGGAUGACGGCCUUCGGGUUGUAAACCUCUUUCAGUAGGGAAGAAGCGAAAGUGACGGUACCUGCAGAAGAAGCACCGGCUAACUACGUG